GAUGGCUCAUCGGAGAAGCUAACCACUGUGUCGAGAGGUUAAGAGCCAUGAUGUGUGGACAGACCCAUGUGAAGAGGAACUGAGAUCUACCAUCAAUUUGUCAGUCAUGUGAGUCAGCCACAUUGGAAUUGGAUCUCCAUCCCCAGUCAAACCUUCUGAUGACUGCAAUCCUGGAUAACAAAUGAUUGCAAUCCUGGAUAACAAAUGACUGCAAUCUCAUGAGAUACUGUGUCAAUGUCUUCAGUGAAAAAAGCAGUUAGUUCUGCUUACAGUCUCAACAAUUGCCAAAGUGCUUUCUCUCAAGACAGCCAUCAUGCUUGGUUUGCAAUGGAAAUAUUUCACAUACCAACAGACAUCUGCUCAUAGAAGUUGAUGCCAGAGAACUCACAGUAUAGAAGUGGAGCCCCCAACAUUUGUAGAAUGCACUGACUGAGUCCUGGAAAAGGAAUUGCAGAUUUACCUAAGAAGACUAAGAAUAGCAAUAUUCUUAUCCGAGUUCUUCUACUUACCGGCCAUGCCUCCAUAGGCAAGUAUUUUACCUGUCUAUACCUUAGUUUCCUCUUCUGUAAAAUGUAGAUAAUUAUAAUCUGUCCCUCAUCUCAUUGUUCCAAGGAUGAAAUACAUUAUAGAAAUACAAUUAACUACACUGUAUUGUUAUAAGCAGCUGGUCUUCAUUUAUUUAUUCAACAGAUAUUUGAGUUAGAUUCAUAUAAACAGCACACUCCUAAGCCUGAGGAUAGUGACAAUGAAGACAAAAUUCCUACUCUUAAGAGCUUCCAUACUCUGUUGGAAAUCUCUAAAACAAAGUGAAAUAUAUUGGAGAAGGGGGACAUUCUUGGAGACCUCAUUUUAGAUAUGAGUGAAUAUAUAUUCUGGGUAGCACUGCUGUAAAUGGUUAGUGGUGAAAGGCUUGGUGUCAGGCAAAUACUUUUAGGCAACUAAAGAGAAUUUGUGUAGUGUCUUUAAUAAGUAGGUAGAAUGUGGGAGUAUUAAUUUAUAUUUGCAAAGUACUUUAGCCUUCAAAUUGCAAUCAUAGCCUUUUGAUAUUUAAGGCAGCAUGAGACGGUGAGAAAUGAACAUGCCUCUGAAUCAGAACAAGAGGCUACAAUCUCAUCUCUAAUAGCAACUGUCGGGUUCCUUAACUGCAUAGUAGGGUUAAUCACAUAAAAAAAAUUAGUAACACCCCCCCCACACACUAUUUCACAGAGUCGCUGUGUAGAUGAGAUGAUACACUAUGAACAGGAGAGCAUGCAUUUCUUCAGCAAAUAUUUAGCCAAGCAUAUAAGGUAUGCUGGGCUUUGCUGCACUGCUUGAGGCCCUGUCCUUAUGCAUUUACAUCUUAAUGAUGGGAGCAGACACUAAAAGAGCAGCAAAUAAUUGAGAUAAUUUUCACUUACAGUAUGCGCUUUACAUAUACAUAUAUGCAUGGUGUUGUAGAGAAAUUCUCCCUUACAAGAGAGUUCAGGGAAUGUCUCUUGGGAGGAAGAAACUGGAGCUGAGAAGGGGCUUGGGGCAGAGCUGGAAGCAAAGUGCUGGAUGGAGUAAAGAGUGUAUAAAGAACAGAAAGCAGAAUAAGCUGUAGUGUGCAAAGGAAAAGAAGACAAGCAACUGGAACAAGGCACGUUAGGUAAGGAUAGCCUGAGACAUAAGAAAAGGCCCAGACAUAAGAAAAGCUCAAGGUUUGUAGGGCUUUGAAAGCCAUGGGGAGGAGUUUGCAUUUUAUGUUAAGGAAGGGGGACCCCAAUUGAAGGUUUUAAGCAAGAGAAUACAUAAUCAACUUCCUGUUUAAAAUUAUAAUUAAAUACUGUGAAGGCAAGUGAGAAUGUGUUUCUGCUGGAAAUGCCAACACGGACAGGUGGAGGGGAAGGCAGAGAGAGGAUGUCAUAUGGGUCUGUUUCCAUCUCAUUACUUUCACGGUCUUCUGUCUGGAGGUGAAACAGGGACAUUUGCAUCUGCUUGAUCUCAAUAGGUAAAUACUGUUACUCUUGUCACCUGCCUCACAGUGCCUGGCUCUUUGUCCUUGGUACAGUCAGGCCUCUCUGGGGCCUGUGAUGACAAUGUCAGUAUUUCCCCCAGUGGGAAAAUAAAAUUGACCCUGGAGUAUUAUUGAUGAGGUUCAGCGAUCUGCUUCUCAGAGAUAAAAAGCUUUCCACACAUUCUAUGACUAACAAUCUAAACACUCUUUAACAGUCAUUGUAGUCUGUUGAUUGUGGGUGUCAAAUGGGGACACACUACAGAUGUGUCUUUGCUUUCUGUCUCAGAACUGCUUUGUAACCAGACUGGAUGGAACAUCCCAGAAAUGACAAGGGUCUUAUGGACCCGCUUCAAGGUUUUUAGAGUAAAUUUACUGCUUUCUGCCCUUGACUGGGGAAUGGACCUCUCCUCUACGAGAAAGUCAUCUUAAGUAAAGGCUACCACAUCUACAGCAAGGAUGGAGGAAGAGGCUGCCUGCUCCAUUAACUAAAUCAAUAGGGUUAGUGAUAGGUAUUGGAGGAAGACCACCUGCACAGCCAAAUGGUAAAAAAUUUCUGAAGUUGGAGUUCAAUCCAAUAGUGAUCAUGAGUACAUGAAAGUAGGUUUUACAUUUUCACAAGGUUCAAAUAGAAGCUAUUAUCAAGUAAAAGUAACAGGAAGCGUAAUAGCUGUUGGUAUUUUUUUCCCAGAGACCUCAACACUUUAUGUGGAUUCCUGCUGGGUUAAGAGGCUUUAGAUCAUUCUUGCUAGUGAACAACACGUGGGUGAAACCAUACCACCCUUCCAGUUUUAUGCAUGACUGAGUGUUGACCUUUAUCAUUGCCAGAGUCUCCUGAGAAGUGCUUGCUUAUAACUUCAGUUGUGCAGCUUUUUACAUGGAUAAGCCAUAGAGUCAUAUACUUAAGAAGCUAAAUAUUUGUAAACAUUCAUUGAUUUAACAAAUUUUCAGUUAAUAGGUGCUGUGUGUCAGGCAUUGCUGACUGGGUAAACAUGUUUGAACAAAAGAGGCAAAGCCUAUGUCCUCAUGCAUACAUAUAGAUGCAGGCACGUGCAGAAUUUAGAAUUUUCCAUUUCUAACUAAGGUAUCAUGAAGAGCAAUUUAGUCUACCUUAUCAUUAUACAGAUGGGGAUAAGGAAGGAGACUCAAGCAUCUAAGAUCACUUCCCCCUUGACUUCCGCACUGCAUUUCAAUAGAAGAAAAGGCUGGCUGACUGGCACAUCCUAAAUCACCUUCCUAUAAAUGGCAGGCAUGGUAUGGGGGAAUCUCUCCAGAAGGCAUCGUUUUUACUUAAACAAGA